rnacentral:rRNA from 1 species
GACGAACGCUGGCGGCAUGCCUAAUACAUGCAAGUCGAACGAUGAUAUCACUGCUUGCAGUGAUUGAUUAGUGGCGAACGGGUGAGUAACACGUGAGGAACUUGCCCAUGAGCGGGGGACAACGAUUACGGAAACGGAUGCUAAUACCCCAUAGGUGGAUUGGUCGCAUGACUAAUUCAUUAAAGGUGGCUCUGCUACCACUCAUGGAUAGCCUCGCGGCGUAUUAGCUAGUUGGUAGGGUAAUGGCUUACCAAGGCAGUGAUACGUAGCCGACUUGAGAGGGUGAUCGGCCACACUGGGACUGAGACACGGCCCAG